GGCGCAGGGUGCGUAAAGCGUGGGAACCUGCCCUUUGGUUCGGAAUAACUCAGGGAAACUAGAGCUAAUACCGGAUGAUGACUUCGGUCCAAAGAUUUAUCGCCGAGGGAUGGGCCCGCGUAGGAUUAGCUAGUUGGUGGGGUAAUGGCCUACCAAGGCGACGAUCCUUAGCUGGUCUGAGAGGAUGAUCAGCCACACUGGGACUGAGACACGGCCCAGACUCCUACGGGAGGCAGCAGUGGGGAAUAUUGGACAAUGGGCGCAAGCCUGAUCCAGCAAUGCCGCGUGAGUGAUGAAGGCCUUCGGGUUGUAAAGCUCUUUUACCCGGGAUGAUAAUGACAGUACCGGGAGAAUAAGCUCCGGCUAACUCCGUGCCAGCAGCCGCGGUAAU
rnacentral:rRNA from 1 species